rnacentral:rRNA from 1 species
UACGUAGGGUGCAAGCGUUAAUCGGAAUUACUGGGCGUAAAGCGUGCGCAGGCGGUGAUGUAAGACAGUUGUGAAAGCCCCGAGCUCAACUUGGGAAUUGCAGUGGAUACUGGCAGGCUGGAGUACGGUAGAGGAAGGUGGAAUUCCCGGUGUAGCAGUGAAAUGCGUAGAUAUCGGGAGGAACACCAGUGGCGAAGGCGGCCUUCUGGACCAGUACUGACGCUCAUGCACGAAAGCGUGGGGAGCAAACAGG